rnacentral:rRNA from 1 species
CACGCAGGCGGUUUGUUAAGUCAGAUGUGAAAUCCCCGGGCUCAACCUGGAAACUGCAUCUGAUACUGGCAAGCUUGAGUCUCGUAGAGGGGGUAGAAUUCCAGGUGUAGCGGUGAAAUGCGUAGAGAUCUGGAGGAAUACCGGUGGCGAAGGCGGCCCCCUCGGACGAAGACUGACGCUCAGGUGCGAAAGCGUGGGAGCAAACA